rnacentral:rRNA from 1 species
CCUACGUGAGGCAGCAGUGAGGAAUAUUGGUCAAUGGACGAGAGUCUGAACCAGCCAAGUAGCGUGAAGGAUGACUGCCCUAUGGGUUGUAAACUUCUUUUAUAAAGGAAUAAAACGAGGCACGUGUGCCUUUUUGCAUGUACUUUAUGAAUAAGGAUCGGCUAACUCCGUGCCAGCAGCCGCGGUAAAUACGGAGGAGCCGAGCGUUAUCCGGAUUUAUUGGGUUUAAAGGGAGCGUAGAUGGGUUGUUAAGUCAGUUGUGAAAGUUUGCGGCGCAACCGUAAAAUUGCAAUUGAUACUGGCAGUCUUGAGUACAGUUGAGGUAGGCGGUAUUCGUGUUGUAGCGGUGAAAUGCUUAGAUAUCACGAAGAACCCCGAUUGCGACGUCAGCUUACUAAACUGUGACUGACAUUGAUGCUCGAAAGUGUGGGUAUCACACAGGAUUAGAUACCCCAGUAGUC